rnacentral:misc_RNA from 1 species
GAUGAAGAACGCAGCGAAAUGCGAUACGUAAUGUGAAUUGCAGAAUUCAGUGAAUCAUCGAAUCUUUGAACGCAUAUUGCGCUCUCUGGUAUUCCGGAGAGCAUGCUUGUUUGAGUAUCAGUAAACACCUCAACUUCCAUAUCUUUUUUGAAAUGGGAGUUGGACUUGAGUGAUCCUAACGCUUUUCCUCACCGAAAAGUGGCGGGUUACUUGAAAUGCAGGUGCAGCUGGACUUUUCUCUGAGCUAUAAGCAUAUCUAUUUAGUCUGCCUAAAAAACAGAUUAUUACCUUUGCUGCAGCUAACAUAAAGGAGAUUAGUUCUUGUGCUGACUGAUGCAGGAUUCACAAAGACAGCUUCGGCCGACUUUGUAAACUCGAUCUCAAAUCAAGUAAGACUACCCGCUGAACUUAAGCAUAUCAAUAAGCGGAGGA